UACGUAGGGUGCAAGCGUUGUCCGGAAUUAUUGGGCGUAAAGAGCUCGUAGGCGGUCUGUCGCGUCUGCUGUGAAAACUCAGGGCUUAACCCUGAGCUUGCAGUGGGUACGGGCAGACUAGAGUGCGGUAGGGGAGACUGGAAUUCCUGGUGUAGCGGUGAAAUGCGCAGAUAUCAGGAGGAACACCGGUGGCGAAGGCGGGUCUCUGGGCCGUAACUGACGCUGAGGAGCGAAAGUAUGGGGAGCGAACAGG
rnacentral:rRNA from 1 species